GCCAAGCAUGAUGGUGCAUGCCUGUAAUCUUAGCUACCGGGGAGGCUGAGGCACAUGGAUCCUUUGAGUUUGGGAGUUCUGAACUGCAGUGCACUAAGUAAAUCAGGUGUCCUUGCUAAAUUCAGCAUCACUAAGGUGGGCCCCUGGGAAUGACGGGUCCACUAAGUUUACUAACAAAGAGUAAACAGGCCCAGGUUGGAAACUGAGUAGGUCAAAGUUUCCCUGUUGAGUAGUAGUAAGGUUGGUAUGGUGAAUAGUCCUUGUACUUCUAGCCUGGAUAAUAUAGUGGGACAUUU
rnacentral:SRP_RNA from 1 species